rnacentral:rRNA from 1 species
GAUGAACGCUAGCGGCAGGCCUAACACAUGCAAGUCGAGGGGCAGCACAUAAAGUGGUUUACUACUUUUGGUGGCGACCGGCGGACGGGUGCGUAACGCGUAUGCAACCUGCCUCCAACAGGGGGAUAACGGAGAGAAAUUUCCACUAAUACCCCAUAAUAUCAGAAUCGGCAUCGGUUUUGGUUGAAAACUCCGAUGGUUGGAGAUGGGCAUGCGUUGUAUUAGAUAGUUGGUGAGGUAACGGCUCACCAAGUCAACGAUACAUAGGGGGACUGAGAGGUUAGCCCCCCACACUGGGACUGAGACACGGACCAGACUCCGACGGGAGGCAGCAGUGAGGAAUAUUGGUCAAUGGGGGCAACCCUGAACCAGCCAUGCCGCGUGCAGGAAGACGGCUCUAUGAGUUGUAAACUGCUUUUACAAGGGGAUAAAUCGGUGUACGUGUACACCGUUGAAGGUACCUUGGGAAUAAGGAUCGGCUAACUCCGUGCCAGCCGCCGCCGUAA